UAUAUCAUCUGAUUAUCGUCUGCUGUUGACUGUUUAUUUAUGGUUUUGUUUCAAUUUAUUAAUUUCGUGUUAAUUAUAAUUUUAAUUAAUUCACCUUCAAGUCUAUAUUUAGUUGAGACUUUCUCGAUGUCUAUUUGAUAAUUGGUCUUGUUAACUUUAAUUCAAAUGUUGUGUUUACGUAUCAAGUUCCGAGUAAAAGUUUAAUCUCCUCAUCAUGGGAAUAAAGGGAAGAAUUGGAACAUUUUUAAGAGUAAAUGAAGAUGAACCAGGAAAGCAAAAGGUUCUUCUUCUUUUUUCUGGUUGAAAAGGAAUCAUUUUUCUCAUCAGAAAAGUGGAAGAAAAGCAACAGGAUAGAGGAUGAUAAAGAGGAGGAGGAGGAGGAGAAGGAGGAUAAAGAUUGAAUCAAGAAAAUGGGUGAGUAUGAGUGUGUUUUUUUUGAGGUAUAGGAUCAAUGACAGGAAAAAAGAAAAGGAUACAGAUGAAGAGAAAGGAGAGACUCUAAGAUGGAGAUAAUAUUAUACAAGAAAAGAUGGAGGAGACACGUAAAGAGAUGAAAACCACAUUGAAGAUGAUGACAGUUAAAUCGGUUUAAGAAAAAUAUUUAUCUCUUAAUUCUCAGCGUUACUUAAGGACACAACCAUAAUCACAAUUAACAUUAUAUUGUCUUUUAAAUGGUCAACUAGCAUAUUCCUUUUGGUUGCUGUUCAUGAUUUUCAUUUCAUCUUUAAUUUCUCAUUCUCAUCUUAAAGUGAUUCCAAUUCAUUCCAAAUUUUCAGUCCAUUAGCCAGUUUCGUGGUGGAUCAAUUUUUCAAGAUUAGCUUUCCCUCAGGCUGAUGGUUAAUUCAAUUCCUGGGAUAAACAAAAAGUUUAAGAGUCGAUUUUCUUUGAGAAAAGAGUUAAUUAUUGUUUCUCCCUUUCACAACAAUUUGUUGGCUUUUUUACGUUUUUGUCUUCUCAACCUUUAAGCCAGAUUAAGAUAAUCCAGUCUUUGGAAUGGAAAAUUUUUUUGAAUCCAUCAACGAUAGUGAAUUCACAUGCUAACCAUCCAUUCAAAUAUAUUGAAAGGUUCUUGGAAAAACUCCUGACAGUCACAAGAAUUUACUCUCACCGAAAACGAAUCCUGGUUCCUUCCGUUGAGCUUGAUUUUCAAAAAUUGGUUUCCCUGACAGUUAGUUUGAAUUUAAAAUUCAACUGUGUAUCGUUAUUUGUUUUCACUUUUCAGGAUCAUUGUUAAAUCGAAGUUUAUUUUAGAUUAGACAAUUAAGUAGCUGUUAAUCAGUGGUUUUCAAUGUUACUUUAAACCUGCUUAUGAUUGUGUUAAUAUGUAUUUAAUCACUUUAAUAUUACAUUGUGGGUUUUAACUUCUUUUAA